CCGGGAAGCCGGCCGUCUGCCCGCGCUCUCGCGUUCACCUCCAGCAGCUGUCGCGCAUCGCCGAGCUGCUGUGCUCUGCUGAGUACAGAACCGAACCACAGACCGCGGCGUGCGUGGGGCCUGCGCGCGUCGCGCCCGAGCCAGCGCUGCGGGCCGCUCGGCCCGGGGCGGGGUCGGGGAGCGGGGCCUCGACCGGAGCUGCAGCCCGGGACGCGGAGGGAGGCUCCCCGGAGCCCCAGCUGCGCCCGCCUAAGCCGCCGCGGGCUCCCUCGGCCACGGACUUUGCACGGAAGCCCCUGGAAGGCCCAGCUCUUCAGCCAGACCGGAACCGCGACCCAGCAGAGCCUCGGCGGUGCCGGCCGGAACCUCCUCCCGGGCUUCCUCAGGCGGAGACUUUGCCUCACUUUGAAGGCUCGGACAGAGUGGAAACUUCAGGGAACCGUGAAAUAGGACCUGAAAGCCAGCAACAGGAGACAGAUGUGACCAGGUCCCCCAGACUCUGCUUGGGAGGGGGAGGAGAGGGAUUGGUUUUGUUUUCCCUUUUUUUUUCCUCAGUACUGUACAGGGAAUCAACCCAGGACCUUCACACUGAGCUACGUCCCCAGUCCUUUUUUAUUUUGAGAAAAGGUCUCAGUAUGUCUGGGAAUUGCCCUGGCUGAGCUCAAAUUUGUAGCCCUCCUACCUCAGCCUGCCAAGAGUAUUGAUUGGUAUUGGAAAGUUGGAGACUCAAUUCUUUCUCCUUCCUUCCUUUCUUCUUUCUUUCUUCCUUUUUUUCCUUCCUCUUCCUUUUUCUUCUUCCUUUUUUUUUUUUUUUUUUUUUUGGUACCGAGGAUUGAACUCGGGUCCUUGCUCUUGGGCAGCAGGCAGCGAAACCACUGAGCUAAAUCCCCGGCCCCCUCGUCCUUUUUCAACAGGGUCUCGCUAUGUGGUUCAGGCUGCCCUUGAACUCAAGCUGGCUCGAACUCACAACCCUCCUGCCUCAGCCUCUCGAGUGCUGGGAGUACAUCUCACUGACCGAGGACCAUUUCUCUCAGCUGAGAGGUUGGGACUGAGGCUGUGUGUCGGUGACGAGCCCAAAGCCCCCGAGUGUGAUGUUGGGGACGGCUCCGCCCAGCAGCACCUGUGGACCGGGAGAAAGCCGGAGCACCUGCCUGUGAGCUUUCCUGCCUCUACCUAGGAAGCAAGCGUCCUCUACAGGAGCCCCAAAGGGACAGAGUCUUGGGGAGACAGCCCUGGCCUCAGACAGCCAACUUGGAGUCAAGACAAACAGUCUUACCAUCCAGCCAGAGCACUGCCACUCCUCUGACUGCACAUGGAUGCUCUCCCAGCCCAGACACACUCCCUGUCACUGCUGGUGCUGUGUGUGCAGAUGGCUGGCUCCCUGCGGCCCAGGACCACAGCCCACUGUCUCCUCCCCACAGCACCAGAAGUAGGAAAGUGCACAGGAAAGACGCGGUAGCCAGAAGCACAAACUCUGCAUCCGAUUUGAUCAUAAACCAGCACCGGUGGAGAAUUCGGGUGAAUUGUGGUGCAUCUGUAAGGCAGAAUGCUAAAGCAACUCCUAAAUGGGUAUUGUGAACUCCUGUGGAUUGCCAUGGGAAAAUGAUAUCUUUUCUGAGUGGGAGAAGCAAGGUAUACAACAAAACCGUAUGGACACAAUACUAUUUACAUACACACAUGCACUGUUCAAGGAAAAACUUUUGGAGGGAGAUCUUCCAAAAGAUUGACUCUGCUUAUUUUUAGAAAAUGAGAUAAGUACUACACACUUGUUGAAUGGGGGGGGGAUGCUCCAAUAGAUG
rnacentral:lncRNA from 1 species